AAACCUUUGAACAAAUGGACUAAGUAGACAUUUACAGAGUGUUCUACCAAACAACAUCUGAAUGCGCAUUCUUUUCAGCUACAUGAGACAUUUUCUCAGAU